CAGUGCCCGUCACGGGAACCGGGGAAAGACGCCAGGCCCAGAGCUGAAAUACCUGUUCUGAAAUGGCUUCUAUGUUUAUCUCUCCAGAGAGGAAUUUUAAAAGCCUCUCCCUCGGUCGCGCGCUCCUCCCCCCCACUCCCCCGCCCGGUGGGGGAGGGGGAGGGGUGGCUUGCUGCGCGCUGGCACGCGGCCCCGCAGCCGGGCUGCUGGGGCCGGAGGUGCCCACCCUGGAGGCCUCCCGUCCGAACUCCUGCCCUCCCCCCGCCCGUGCCCUUGCUCGUGCUCCGGUUGGCAGCAGGUUCCGGAAUGAGGACUACACGGUACAUGUGCGGCUGAAUGACUACCUGGACAUCAUCUGUCCACAUUACGAGGAUGAUGCUGUGGCGGAUACUGCCAUGGAGCGGUACACCCUAUACCUGGUGGAGCAUGAGCAGUACCAGCUGUGCCAACCCCAAUCCAAGGACCAAGUCCGCUGGCAAUGCAACCAGCCCAGUGCCAGGCAUGGCCCGGAGAAGCUAUCUGAGAAAUUCCAGCGCUUCACGCCCUUCACCCUGGGCAAGGAGUUCAAAGAGGGACACAGCUACUACUAUAUCUGCAUGGAGUCAGCUGCUGCUGCGUACUGGGGACUCUGCUUGGCAGAACAGGCACAGAGAUGAACAAACAUGAUAGCGUCCCUAUCCCCUAGGAAGCUGGAAAGCGACAUACAGAGGAGACUGACCAUUAGAACAGUUGUGAUAUGAAGAUGUGGACCGAGGGGCCUUGGGGAAAAUGACUUGGGUACCUGCCAGGCUCAGGAGGCUCAGAGAAGCAUUCCUGGGGAAUAUGGCCCAAGAGCUUAGGACAAGCAGAAGGGUUGGCCAGGCACAAGGAGACAUGUGCAAAGGGGAGCAUGAUAUCUUCAGGGAACUCCAUAUGGAUUCAAACUAUGGCAGGAGUGAUGCUGGAAGUGGGGAGAGGUGGACUGAGCAGAUCAUGGGGGCCUAGAAAGUGCUAAGGAGUUAGGACUUUGUCCCAAGGGCACUGGGGAGGCACUGGUGGCUUCAUGAGUUGGAAAAUCAGCUUGUCAGUGGAGCCUAGGCAGGGGGAGCAGAGUAGGAAGGCCCCAGCCUACUUCAGGCUGUGAGGAGGAAAGGACGGACUGUAGCAAGAGGACAUGGUCUGUGUGUUUCUUAGUGCUAUCUCCAAAGCCAAGGGUCAUGGCAAAGAAUGGAAGGUUGAGCAUGAGGCAGAGAGCUGGCCAACAGGGACGCCUGGGUGGCUCAGCAGUAGAGCGUCUGUCUGCCUUUGGCUCAGGGUUGUGAUCCCAGAGUCCCGGGAUCGAGUCCUGUGUCAGGCUUCCUGCAUGGAGCCUGCUUCUCCCUCUGCCUGUGUCUCUGCCUCUCUGUAUCUCUCAUGAGUAAAUAAGUAAAAUAUUUUAAAAAAUAAAAAGAAAGCAGGCCAUCAACAAGGAAGGUGAGAAUCACAGAUGAGUGGGAAGAGAGUGCCUCAAAUGAACAAGGCCUGAAAAAGGAGAGCAGGAGGUGUUUGCCACCUGUAUUUUCUUCCUCCCUUGACACUCUGCGGGUUUAUCUUACAGCCAAACCCAUCCACCAUCAGGAAGACCGGUGCUUGAAGUUGAAGGUGACAGUCAGUGGCAAAAUCACUCACAGUCCUCAGGCCCAUGCCAAUCCACAAGAGAAGAGACUUCUGGCAGAUGACCCAGAGAUACAGGUUCUACAUAGCAUC